CAAGCAAUGUUGUCUCAAAGCUGGUUGACAUGGAGUCCAAUUUAAACUUCAAACAAAACAGUGAGGGAAUCCAAUGAGGGAUUUGACCUGAAUGAAAAUGAGCAAUGCAAUCACGCCUCUUAGAGUCGCCAAUCUCCAAGUGGUGGCUGGAGAUCUCUCAGAAUUACAACUGAUCUCCAGGCCACAGAGAUCAGUUCCCCUGGAGAAAAUGGCUGUUUUGGACCGUGAACUCAAUGGCAUUAUACACUGCUGAGGACUCUCCUCUCCCCAGGCUCCACCCUCAAAAUCUCCAGGAAUUUCCCACUCAGAACUGGCAACCCUAGUCUCUCCAAGUCAUCUGGUCUAAUACAGUUAUUAAAAAAUGCCCCUGUUGAACAAUGCACUAGUCCCUGAAACAGAAUUUAAAGAAAACUUUAACAAUGCAAAAAUGCCACAGAGGACACUAGUGUUGUUUAACAUAAAAAAGAAAGAUUCUGACAGGGGAUUUUUGGGCUAUGAAUACAAUAAUUCUGAUGGCCAGCAUGCUGAAGAUUUAGUUUUAAAUGACAUUGAAGAGUAUUGGCCAGAAAAUAAGAAAGUAAAAUAUAAAAUAACAUUAUAUAGCUCAUAUACUCCUUGCCAUAGAUGCAGUGCUACUAUACAAUCUUUUUUGGAACGAAGAAAUGAUGUGUGUAUGGAAAUACGAGCUUCAAGCCUUUAUUUUCACACUGACUCUAAAAAUCGAACAGGUUUAUGCCAUCUAAAGAAUAGUGGUGUUUCAAUCAAAAUGAUGGAUAGAUGCGACUACCAAAGAUGUUUUAAUAUGUUUGUGCAUCCAUCAAAGAAGUUCAAUCCACCAUGGCCUACACUGGAUGACAAAAGCAAAGAGAAUGCAGAUGCCCUGGAUAAACUCUGGGAAAAGGAGGGGAAAGAGUCAGAAGAAAAGGGCAGAGCAACAGUCAACCCACUAAGUCAUGGUGAAAUGAUUGAUUCACCCAGUACUUCAGUGAUGAAGGAGAGAACUCUGCAACCAGGAACAGAAACUCCUCAGAAGCAGAACACCACUGGCAAAACAACAAAAAUUCGCAAAGGAACAAAAAGGAAACUCUUUGAAGACUAAAGGGAUGGAUAUAACAUUUCUAUUUUGUUUGUCAUUUUUUUCACUGCUGUUAUAUGAUUCAGGUACUGUAAGUUUGAACAGGCUUGUGAAGAAAAAGGGAUAUUUGCUGCUUUGACUCUUAAAAAGCAAUCGCAAGAAUAUCAGUUGGGCGUUUUCCACUUAGGCUUGCCGUAGUUGUUCUUGAUAGAACAAGUAUGCUUUUAACAGAUAACAUGAGGUAGCUUUCGCUAGCAUUAAGAAAAAUUUAAUCUACUGAUGAAGUCAUGCAACAUGUCAUCCAAUACAAAUGAAGCCUUCUAAGAUGGAGGUUCUGCAUGUGGGUCUAGGGUCCAUGUGGGUCUAGACUCCGGCUCCCUGCUCUCGACGGAGCGCCACUUAUGCCGGUGUCGAGAGUGAGGAGCCUGGGGGGUGGUCCUGGAUGCUUCCUUGUCUAUGGAGGCACAGGUCGCAGCGGUUGUUAGAUCCUUUUUCUUCUAAGACAGGCUCGACAACUUGUCCCCUACCUAUCGACCCAUGACCUUACAACAGUGAUCCAGGCAACGGUCACCUCCAGAUUAGACUACUGCAACUCACUCUAUGCAGGGCUUCCCUUGGGCUUGAUCCGGAAACUGCAGCUGGUUCAGAAUGCAGCUGCACGGGUGGUUGCCAGAGCACCAAUCAUGGCUCCUCUGGACCCCUGCCCAUCCUGGCUGGUGAAGGCCAGCUCGGAGGGGCUACGGGAUCAUUUGGAGGCCAUUGUUAACAUCUCCCUGAGCGCUGGGGUUUUUCCAGGAGUGUUAAAGGAGGCGGUAGUGCGGCCCCUCCUGAAAAAAACAUCUUUGGAUCCCACCAACCCGUCCA